GAUGAACGCUGGCGGCGUGCCUAAUACAUGCAAGUCGAGCGAACGGACGAGAAGCUUGCUUCUCUGAUGUUAGCGGCGGACGGGUGAGUAACACGUGGAUAACCUACCUAUAAGACUGGGAUAACUUCGGGAAACCGGAGCUAAUACCGGAUGAUAUUUUGAACCGCAUGGUUCAAAAGUGAAAGACGGUCUUGCUGUCACUUAUAGAUGGAUCCGCGCUGCAUUAGCUAGUUGGUAAGGUAACGGCUUACCAAGGCAACGAUGCAUAGCCGACCUGAGAGGGUGAUCGGCCACACUGGAACUGAGACACGGUCCAGACUCCUACGGGAGGCAGCAGUAGGGAAUCUUCCGCAAUGGGCGAAAGCCUGACGGAGCAACGCCGCGUGAGUGAUGAAGGUCUUCGGAUCGUAAAACUCUGUUGUUAGGGAAGAACAUAUGUGUAAGUAACUGUGAACAUCUUGACGGUACCUAAUCAGAAAGCCACGGCUAACCACGUG
rnacentral:rRNA from 1 species